rnacentral:lncRNA from 1 species
AUGGCCGGCGACGAAGGCGACGACCGAAGAAGGCCCGCGACAGAGUUGGGACACCGGCGGAGGGCGCACCGGCCAGCCACGCGGAUGGAGCCGGGGAUGGGCGUUAAUGGCGGCACCGUGGAUGGCGGGCUGCGGUGCUGGAGCUCCAGGCGACAAUCCGGCGACCACGUCGCCGACGGCCACAUGGCUGGCGACGGAGUUGGGGCGCACUGGCUGGCCACGCAGAUGGAGCCGGAAGUGGGCGUUAACGGCGGUGCCGUGGACGGCGAGCAGCGGUGCUCGAGCACUAGGCGACAAUCCGGCAACCACGUCGCCGACGGCCGCGCCCUCCUCUCGCCGAGCAGGUCUUCUUCCCCAGCCUGCACCGGAGUCGCCGACGGCCACCUCCUCCUCACGGCUCAGGCACUCAGCCUCGUUCCUCUUUGGAUGGGAAAGGUGGACAAAAUGUAUCCCAUCCCGAUGCUUCGGUGCGAAUCUCUGAAGCAUCGGCUUCCCCGCGACGGCGGCGCCGGACAGGACUCCGCCGAGGAUGCCGGCGACAAUCAUCGACCUUGGGCCGGACGCGAUGCGGUAGAGCGCCCCGGCGCUGGCCCCCGCGGCGACGGUGUUGACCCAGUCGUCGGCGACGUCGCACUGGUCGCGAAUGAAACUCUCGGUCCUGGUGAAGAGCAUCGCAACGAUGCCGAACCGGCUGCCGAAGGCGCGGCCGACAGGGCCGCUCUGGUUGAGGGCGCGGUUGAUGCGCAGCUUGGCGGACUCCCUGCGCUCGGCCUGCGGCGGGCGGCGGGUGGGCCGCUCCUCCGCAUCCUCCGCCGGUGUCGCGCUGAGGAGGUGCACGGCACCGUGGAGGCGGCGUGGCUGGCGACAGCGAGGUCGCCGCUCGCCCGCUCGCCCGCCGCGGCUCUAGAUGGGAAGAGAUGGGCACCAGCCGCCGAUCCCGCCGUCGCGUGAGAGCUGAGAA